AGAAGUAUGGAGGAUUUACCAGGAAGAAGGAAGGGGAGACUCAUGUUGUUUCUUCCUAUAGUAAAAGAAGGCCCUCUGUAAGGAGGAAGGAAGUGCGUCAAGUCGUCAACCAACACCAGGUGGCUCAUAUAGCAUCUGCUUUCAGAGAAGCUCAACAACCACAACAACAACCUCGUCAACAACAACAGGCUUACCAGCCUCGCAAUAACAACAACAUCACCGACAAUUAUGAGAGGAAGAGGGUGACUUUUGAC
rnacentral:lncRNA from 1 species